AGCGAACGCUGGCGGCAGGCCUAACACAUGCAAGUCGAACGGAUCCUUCGGGAUUAGUGGCGGACGGGUGAGUAACACGUGGGAACGUGCCCUUUGGUUCGGAACAACUCAGGGAAACUUGAGCUAAUACCGGAUGUGCCCUUCGGGGGAAAGAUUUAUCGCCAUUGGAGCGGCCCGCGUCUGAUGAGCUAGUUGGGGAGGUAACGGCCCACCAAGGCGACGAUCAGUAGCUGGUCUGAGAGGAUGAUCAGCCACACUGGGACUGAGACACGGCCCAGACUCCUACGGGAGGCAGCAGUGGGGAAUCUUGCGCAAUGGGCGAAAGCCUGACGCAGCCAUGCCGCGUGAAUGAUGAAGGUCUUAGGAUUGUAAAAUUCUUUCAGCGGGGACGAUAAUGACGGUACCCGCAGAAGAAGCUCCGGCUAACUUCGUG
rnacentral:rRNA from 1 species